CCAAAUAAGAAUUACAGUGAACAAGUAUACAGUGUACUGUUUGAGAGAAACAGGUAAAAGAUCAAAGAUACCAACAUGUCCAGGUAAGAUGCCUGAGGUUACAUACACAGUUAUAAAAAAAAUAAUUGUGAAAAACAUAUC